rnacentral:rRNA from 1 species
AUUGAACGCUGGCGGCAGGCCUAACACAUGCAAGUCGAGCGGCAGCGGGGGGAAGCUUGCUUCCUCGCCGGCGAGCGGCGGACGGGUGAGUAAUGUCUGGGAAACUGCCCGAUGGAGGGGGAUAACUACUGGAAACGGUAGCUAAUACCGCAUAACGUCUACGGACCAAAGUGGGGGACCUUCGGGCCUCACACCAUCGGAUGUGCCCAGAUGGGAUUAGCUGGUAGGUGGGGUAAUGGCUCACCUAGGCGACGAUCCCUAGCUGGUCUGAGAGGAUGACCAGCCACACUGGAACUGAGACACGGUCCAGACUCCUACGGGAGGCAGCAGUGGGGAAUAUUGCACAAUGGGCGCAAGCCUGAUGCAGCCAUGCCGCGUGUGUGAAGAAGGCCUUCGGGUUGUAAAGCUCUUUCACCGGUGAAGAUAAUGACGGUAACCGGAGAAGAAGCCCCGGCUAACUGCGUGCCAGCAGCCGCCGUAACAC